UACGUAGGGGGCAAGCGUUGUCCGGAUUUAUUGGGCGUAAAGAGCGUGUAGGCGGCCAGACAGGUCCGUUGUGAAAACUAGAGGCUUAACCUCUAGACGUCGAUGGAAACCGUCUGGCUAGAGUCCGGAAGAGGAGAAUGGAAUUCCUGGUGUAGCGGUAAAAUGCGCAGAUAUCAGGAAGAACACCCGUGGCUAAGGCGGUUCUCUAGUACGGUACUGACGCUGAGACGCGAAAGCGUGGGGAGCGAACAGG
rnacentral:rRNA from 1 species